GGGCCCGCACAAGCAGCGGAGCAUGUUGUUUAAUUCGAUGCAACGCGAAGAACCUUACCAGGUCUUGACAUUGAUGUAAACCGCCAGAGAUGGCGGGUGCCUUCGGGCGACAGAAAACAGGUGGUGCAUGGUUGUCGUCAGCUCGUGUCGUGAGAUGUUGGGUUAAGUCCCGCAACGAGCGCAACCCUUAUGAUCAGUUACUAACGGGCAAAGCCGAGGACUCUGAUGAGACUGCCGGGGACAACUCGGAGGAAGGUGGGGACGACGUCAAAUCAUCAUGCCCCUUAUGACCUGGGCUACAAACGUGCUACAAUGGCGGCUACAAAGAGGAGCGAGCUUGUAAAAGUAAGCGGAUCUCAAAAAAGUCGUCCCAGUUCGGAUUGUGGGCUGCAACCCGCCCACAUGAAGUUGGAGUUGCUAGUAAUCGCGGAUCAGCAUGCCGCGGUGAAUACGUUCCCGGGCCUU
rnacentral:rRNA from 1 species